UUGCUUCGGCAGCAUAUCUACUAAAACUGGAGCGAUACAAAGAAGAUUAGCAUGGCUUCUGCGUAAGGAUAACAUGUAAAUUUGUGAAGCAUUCCAUAUUUUU
rnacentral:snRNA from 1 species